UUAAAUUGAAGAGUUUGAUCAUGGCUCAGAUUGAACGCUGGCGGCAGGCCUAACACAUGCAAGUCGAACGGUAACAGGAAACAGCUUGCUGUUUCGCUGACGAGUGGCGGACGGGUGAGUAAUGUCUGGGAAACUGCCUGAUGGAGGGGGAUAACUACUGGAAACGGUAGCUAAUACCGCAUAACGUCGCAAGACCAAAGAGGGGGACCUUCGGGCCUCUUGCCAUCGGAUGUGCCCAGAUGGGAUUAGCUAGUAGGUGGGGUAACGGCUCACCUAGGCGACGAUCCCUAGCUGGUCUGAGA
rnacentral:rRNA from 1 species